rnacentral:rRNA from 1 species
AGGACUAACGCUGGCGGCGUGCCUAACACAUGCAAGUCGAACGGGGUAGCAAUACCCAGUGGCAGACGGGUGAGUAACACGUGGUCAACCUACCUCUAUGUGGGGGAUAACUAGCCGAAAGGUUAGCUAAUACCGCAUACGAUCGCUUUGGGGCAUCCCUAGGCGAUGAAAGGAGCAAUCCGCAUAGAGAGGGGACUGCGUCCCAUUAGUUAGUUGGUGGGGUAACGGCCUACCAAGACUCCGAUGGGUAGCUGGCUUGAGAGAGCGACCAGCCACACUGGAACUGAGACACGGUCCAGACUCCUAUGGGAGGCAGCAGUGAGGAAUUUUCCGCAAUGGGCGAAAGCCUGACGGAGCGACGCCGCGUGUGGGAAGAAGGCUUCGGGUCGUAACCACUGUCGAAGGGGACGAUAAUGACGGUACCCUUGGAGGAAGCCCCGGCUAACUACGUGCCAGCAGCCGC